rnacentral:ncRNA from 1 species
GGAAUGAAAGGGCAAACCCGUUGAAAAGCGGGGACGCAAAGCCACGGGUCUAAAGCUGGAAAGCCAGGACAGCCGGGCUGCCGAA